rnacentral:lncRNA from 1 species
AGAAGCAAGAAUUGGUGGACUAUCCUCAACUGGGGCUCCCUAAAGAUCCUUGGGGUCAGAGCAGAUGUGGAUAUGCUGGUCUGAAGGUUCAUUCAAGCUGUUACAUGGCUCUAAAUGGUGGUGGGAAGAAAUCACUGCUAAACAUGUAAAGACCGAGAAAGGUGACUAGAAGAACAUUAUUUUCCUUUAACUCUUCUGUUAAUAGUCUGUUAUAAAGGAGUGGCUGGUAUGAGGCAGCAAUGAGUUAAAAACUACAACAAAAACUCUGGAUAGAUUAAAUUAUUCUGACACUCAUUAUAUUAAACAAUUAUUUACUAGUGGCACUAGAGAGAGUACAUGAAUUCUCUAGAUUGGAACAAAUGCAGUGAUGCAGUCCAGGCUAUUUUUAAGAGCAGAGCUUUGGACACAGUGUGCUGAAUCUGCUGUGUCCUGUCACUAUGUGCAACAUUUAAAGCUUUUAUAAACAGCCAUGUUUUUUCAGGAGUCAGACAUUAGGCAAGCACUCAGGCAGCAUCACAGAGGAGUGACUUAGCAGUGUCAUAAACAUUCGCAGAGAUCCAAGCAGGGCCUUGAGAUGGCUAAAUGUUUGGGAAAACAGAUUAUCUAGGGAGGACGGGUUGUUAUGGGACUUGGAAGGCUGCAUUGGCUGUGCCAGCAAUGUGUAGAAAGCAAAUUCUCUCGAGCUUCCAUUUUCCCGGAAUCCUUCAGAGGUCUGUGCCAUUCAAAAUAGCAGCAGUUUGCUGGAGCACCCUCUCAGCAAAGGGAGUGCAAUAAAAUAUAGCUAAGAAAACUACUUUCAGGAGGCUGAAAUCUGGAGGAGAUCAAAAUCUGGCUCAUUUGGCACAGGAAAGCCAAGAAACCAUGCAGGACUGGAAACUUCUAGUUGGUAAGACUGGUUAGAGUUAAAUCAAAGAGGAGUCUUUUACUCAAAGUCAUGCAAUUUAUUACUCCACUAUGGGUUCUCCAGAAGUAUAUAAUACCUUGCUGUAAUGGUAACUAGGAAAAUACUUUGAGGUUUUAAAGCAGGAUGUACAGUUCAUGCUGGUUACUGAGUGAUAAAUGAUACAGGCUGCACAGAACAACUAUACAAACACAGUAUUUCAGCUGGCACAGCAAAG